rnacentral:rRNA from 1 species
UAAUACAUCGGAACGUGUCUUCUAGUGGGGGAUAACUGCCCGAAAGGGCAGCUAAUACCGCAUGAGACCUGAGGGUGAAAGCGGGGGAUCGCAAGACCUCGCGCUGGAAGAGCGGCCGAUGUCCGAUUAGCUAGUUGGUGAGGUAAAGGCUCACCAAGGCGACGAUCUCUAGCUGGUCUGAGAGGAUGACCAGCCACACUGGGACUGAGACACGGCCCAG